UACGUAGGGUGCGAGCGUUGUCCGGAAUUACUGGGCGUAAAGAGUUCGUAGGCGGUUUGUCGCGUCGUUCGUGAAAACUUGGGGCUUAACUCCAAGCGUGCGGGCGAUACGGGCAGACUUGAGUACUACAGGGGAGACUGGAAUUCCUGGUGUAGCGGUGAAAUGCGCAGAUAUCGGGAAGAACACCCGUGGCGAAGGCGGUUCUCUGGGACGGUACUGACGCUGAGAAGCGAAAGCAUGGGGAGCAAACAGG
rnacentral:rRNA from 1 species